rnacentral:rRNA from 1 species
UAAGCAUAUCAAUAAGCGGAGGAAAAGAAACCAACCGGGAUUGCCUCAGUAACGGCGAGUGAAGCGGCAAGAGCUCAAAUUUGAAAGCUGGCCCCUUCGGGGUCCGCGUUGUAAUUUGCAGAGGAUGCUUCGGGUGCGGCCCCUGUCUAAGUGCCCUGGAACGGGCCGUCAGAGAGGAUGAGAAUCCCGUCUUGGGCAGGGUGCCCGUGCCCGUGUGAAGCUCCUUCGACGAGUCGAGUUGUUUGGGAAUGCAGCUCUAAAUGGGUGGUAAAUUUCAUCUAAAGCUAAAUACCGGCCGGAGACCGAUAGCGCACAAGUAGAGUGAUCGAAAGAUGAAAAGCACUUUGAAAAGAGAGUUAAACAGCACGUGAAAUUGUUGAAAGGGAAGCGCUUGCGACCAGACUCGGCCCCGGGGUUCAGCCAGCACUCGUGCUGGUGUACUUCCCCGGGGGCGGGCCAGCGUCGGUUUGGGCGGCCGGUCAAAGGCCCCAGGAAUGUAUCGCCCUCCGGGGUUGUCUUAUAGCCUGGGGUGCAAUGCGGCCAGCCCGGACCGAGGAACGCGCUUCGGCACGGACGCUGGCGUAAUGGUCGCAAACGACCCGUCUUGAAACACGGACCAAGGAGUCUAACAUCUACGCGAGUGUUCGGGUGUCAAACCCGUACGCGCAGUGAAAGCGAACGGAGGUGGGAGCCCCCCCGGGGCGCACCAUCGACCGAUCCUGAUGUCUUCGGAUGGAUUUGAGUAAGAGCGUAGCUGUGGGGACCCGAAAGAUGGUGAACUAUGCCUGAAUAGGGCGAAGCCAGAGGAAACUCUGGUGGAGGCUCGCAGCGGUUCUGACGUGCAAAUCGAUCGUCAAAUUUGGGUAUAGGGGCGAAAGACUAAUCGAACCAUCUGGUAGCUGGUUCCUGCCGAAGUU